GUUCUUUUGGUUUUAGGUUCCUAAAGAACAUGUCUUUGUUCAAGGUGACUAUACUCAUAACUCGAGAGACUCAAGAAACUUUGGUCAUGUACCUUAAGGUCUUAUUCAAGGCAGAGUGCUUUGGAGGGUUUGGCCAUUUCAAGAUUUUGGACCUCUUGGACCAACCCCAACUUAGCAUAUGAGUUAGCUUUGUCCUUAGGCCGAUGAGAUGACUGUGGCGGAUUGAUAGUGUGGUUUAUGCCGAGUGAGUCUAGUUAAUGACCAACUGAUUAUAUAAUGGAGUCAUUGGAAGAUGCAAAAACUGUAUGAGAUAGAUACGUUUAGUUCUCUCUUCGAUCUGAAAAUAUCGAUACCACUUGAAAUUUAAGAUCAACUGGAAAUUUCUUUAAUACCACUUGAAAUCUAAUAUCAAUAUUUCUUUAAUACCACUUGAAAUCUAAGAUCAACUGGAAAUUAUCUCACCAUGGAUGAGAUGCAGGAUCAUCAUACCAUCCACGAAGAUGGGAGAAUCUAAUCGCUCACGAAAAGUGAGUAUUUAGUUCAUAGCAAGUAACAUUAUGUAUUGGUCUGCAUUGUAUGUGAGAGUGUCCUCUAUAUCAAAUUUUAAGCAAAGAUCGAAUGUUCUGUAUGAA